rnacentral:tRNA from 1 species
GCCUUCGUGGUGUAAUGGUCAGUACGCUAGGCGCGUAUUCCAAAGGUCCGUGGUUCGAGUCUCGGUGAAGGCA